AGUGGCAGACGGGUGAGUAACGCGUGGGAAGCUACCUUGUGGUAGGGGACAACAGUUGGAAACGACUGCUAAUACCCUAUGAGCCCUAUGGGGGAAAGAUUUAUCGCCAUGAGAUGUGCCCGCGUUAGAUUAGCUAGUUGGUAAGGUAAUGGCUUACCAAGGCGACGAUCUAUAGCUGGUCUGAGAGGAUGAUCAGCCACACUGGGACUGAGACACGGCCCAGACUCCUACGGGAGGCAGCAGUGGGGAAUAUUGGACAAUGGGGGCAACCCUGAUCCAGCCAUGCCGCGUGUGUGAUGACGGCCUUAGGGUUGUAAAGCACUUUCAGCAGUGAAGAUAAUGACAUUAACUGCAGAAGAAGCCCCGGCUAACUUCGUGCCAGCCGCCGCGGUAAUAA
rnacentral:rRNA from 1 species